ensembl:lincRNA
UCAAAAUACAUUUAAAAAAUCAACUUAAUCGCAAAAAUGUGUAAGAAAUACGAGACAGUUACCAUAAAGCCAUCUAAAACUUUACUGGUACUUUACUCAGACUCAGACGCCUAUAUUCUACCGAUUACUACCAAUGCUCACUCCUUGAUUUGCUAACAAAUAUUGUGUAUGGAGAGUAAAAUAUCUUACACAAAAUAUUUGUCUGACAUUUUCCUCUUUGUGACGACACGAUUUCAGUGUUACAAGCAGCACAUCAAACAACAGCCGAUUCCGCACGUUGGCAUGACGUAAGGGUGCCGGAGAGCUGCGGGUCUGGCUGGGACUGCGGAGCUCAUUUUGCGGGUGAAAGACAUGGAGAGCGAGCCGAGACCCCCGCCCACCCUAAUGAGCCUCGCCACCCAGCUAAUCAACAUAGUCUCUCUGAUUCUCAGCAGCAGAGAGGUCCUCUACAGCAAUGUGAUCAGAAAGACAGAGCAGUAUGGAGACAGGGUCUGCCAGUGGGCACAAGGCCUUGUGGGUCCACCCAGUAACCAGAAGUCACCUGUCUUCUGCUGGUGUGAGUCUCACCCAGCCACUCCUCCUCUCCCUGUGCCCAGGCAGGGCUGGCCCAAGCCUUGCAGCUCCAAUAAUGAAGAAUCGCCUCAAGGUGGCAGGAUCUUACCAGAUCCAUCUUUGUUUGCUGUUGCGAAGUCCGUGCUGAAGGUCAUGUGGCUUGUUGUAUGGGCAACUGGUCCCCUACUGUACCGUACAGUCUUUCACAAGAUAACAAGCCCCUUGGUGCCUCUGAAAACCUGCUGGCACAAUCUGCUACAGAGGGUGAUCAUUGUAGCUGCCGUUUUAAUACUGGUGAUAUGGAAACUCACAAGCAUGACAGGACGAAUGUGUAUGAUUAUACUGAAAGAAAAGGGUAUUUUUCAGCUACGGCUGGUGGCAGUCCCAUUGAACCUGAUGAGGGUAGUGAUAAACACAGCAGACCACGUUUUCGUAAUUAUAGUCACUGCAGGGCUCAGAGUCUGCAUGCUCUUGUUCUUGCUGGUGUCCACUGUGCUUCAUGCAUGCCUGAAGGAGUACUGCACAGAUAGUGGUAGAGAGAGCAGUCAGGAAAGGUCAGCGCUAUGACUGCAGGAGGAAGAUUCAGCACAAGAAAUAAUUCUGUCUCUUGGUGUGCCACUGCUGACAUAUAAACAAAAUAUUGUCUCCUCUUUGUUGCUUGGUUGUUUCCUUCAUUUUGUAUUCAUGAUAGAGUGUGGCCUUCUUAUUUAACCAAAUAAGCAUCACACUGUAUGUUUGAAGACGUCUGAAUCGUCUUGUGCUGCCCUUCAUGAUUACGGUUAUUCUCUAAAAGCUCAGUUAAACAAAAACAUCAAUGAGAAAGUGUGAACAUUACCUGCACUUUAAGCACUCUUCAGCCAUAUCUUUAUAGAGAUGCUUAAAAUGACCUAGGCCUUCAUGCCUUGUAUUUUGUAUGGAUAGAAUACAAGGUUUGAAUGACAAAAGAUGAAAAUACUGUGUAACUAAAUUUAAAACACUUAGAUAAGGGAAGAAAACAGCAGCAG